AACGUAGGUCACAAGCGUUGUCCGGAAUUACUGGGUGUAAAGGGAGCGCAGGCGGGCGAUCAAGUUGGAAGUGAAAUCCAUGGGCUCAACCCAUGAACUGCUUUCAAAACUGAUUGUCUUGAGUAGUGCAGAGGUAGGCGGAAUUCCCGGUGUAGCGGUGGAAUGCGUAGAUAUCGGGAGGAACACCAGUGGCGAAGGCGGCCUACUGGGCACCAACUGACGCUGAGGCUCGAAAGUGUGGGUAGCAAACAGG
rnacentral:rRNA from 3 species